rnacentral:rRNA from 3 species
UGGGGAAUAUUGGACAAUGGGCGGAAGCCUGAUCCAGCCAUGCCGCGUGUGUGAAGAAGGCCUUUUGGUUGUAAAGCACUUUAAGCGAGGAGGAGGCUACUUGGAUUAAUACUCUAGGAUAGUGGACGUUACUCGCAGAAUAAGCACCGGCUAACUCUGUGCCAGCAGCCGCGGUAAUACAGAGGGUGCGAGCGUUAAUCGGAUUUACUGGGCGUAAAGCGUGCGUAGGCGGCUUCUUAAGUCGGAUGUGAAAUCCCUGAGCUUAACUUAGGAAUUGCAUUCGAUACUGGGAAGCUAGAGUAUGGGAGAGGAUGGUAGAAUUCCAGGUGUAGCGGUGAAAUGCGUAGAGAUCUGGAGGAAUACCGAUGGCGAAGGCAGCCAUCUGGCCUAAUACUGACGCUGAGGUACGAAAGCAUGGGGAGCAAACAGGA